AUUGAACGCUGGCGGCAUGCCUUACACAUGCAAGUCGAACGGCAGCGCGGGAGCAAUCCUGGCGGCGAGUGGCGAACGGGUGAGUAAUGCAUCGGAACGUGCCCUGAAGUGGGGGAUAACGUAGCGAAAGUUACGCUAAUACCGCAUAUUCUGUGAGCAGGAAAGCGGGGGAUCUUCGGACCUCGUGCUUUAGGAGCGGCCGAUGUCGGAUUAGCUAGUUGGUGAGGUAAAGGCUCACCAAGGCGACGAUCCGUAGCGGGUCUGAGAGGAUGAUCCGCCACACUGGGACUGAGACACGGCCCAGACUCCUACGGGAGGCAGCAGUGGGGAAUUUUGGACAAUGGGCGCAAGCCUGAUCCAGCCAUGCCGCGUGAGUGAAGAAGGCCUUCGGGUUGUAAAGCUCUUUCGGCGGGGAAGAAAUUGCUUCGGCUAAUAUCCGGAGUAGAUGACGGUACCCGCAUAAGAAGCACCGGCUAACUACGUGCCAGCAGCCGCCGUAAGAC
rnacentral:rRNA from 1 species